UUAUGCCAACAAAUACUUGUUUCCUAAGUCAUUGUGGGGUAUCUAAAUGAGCAAUGGAAGAGCACACAGGCAGAAGGCUGGCCACUAGAGAAGACGUCACAGGGAGCUAAAACCUAAGCCUGACCUUGGGGUAUCGUCAGCGAGGGGAGGAGACAUUUCAAGCGACAGGACUGGCAAAAGCGAGGGAAGUUCAAGAGAUAAAGAUAAGGCAGUUAUUGAUGUACCCGGGAGAACUUUCCGUGCUCAUCCAGAAUAUUCUCGGUCGUACGGCGUUCUAUGAUUUGCAAACUGAGGCUCAGAGUAGUAAGCCGAUGUGCCAACAUCACCAAGCCAUGAAGUGGCAGAACCAGAACUCAGACCCAUUCAGACUCCAAGCUUGGGGUCUUCACGUGCUGGAGCCACAGCCGCCAUCCCAAAUCAAAAGAGGGAUUCCCUAGGAAAACUGAUAUACGGAUAUACACUGUGAUCCAACACCCCAUAGAAAGAGGAAGAUCAUCAGUAAGUGGGUGAUGAAUACUGCUGCUUGGUAACCGACUCCAAAGACCAAAGGGUACCCUCAUCCCAUGGGUCCCUGCCACUUGCAUUGAAGUCUGUGCAAACCUCUGCUUUUCAGGUCGGGUUCUCUCUCCCCACCCCUACUUCUGUAAUUACGCCGUAAUCCGAGAAGCUUGUUUGGUUUCCCACUAAUGACAGUUUCCUGUUUUUGAGGCUCCAAGGCACAUCAGGUGACAGAUCAUACACAGUUCUUAUUUCCAUCCCUUUAUUAGGCAGGGAUACUAUUGUGUUAGCACAAAUAUUUUCAUUGUGCCUUCAAAAUGACAAGGUAUUCAAGAUUACUCCAGCUAAUAGGAUGUCACAGGAGUUUGUGAGAUUAAUGACCAAACCUGUCUGACAAGAAUAAUAGGGUUUUUGAAAAGAGGAAAGCAAUCGGUCUCUACCGAUCAGCCUUUCAUAUGUUUUUACCUCGGGAGCAUAUUCUACUGCCUUGAAAUGAGGAAUUCUAUCAGUUCUUAUUACCUUCUGCAAAGAUUUGUCGCAUAGUCCUGUGAGGGGCACGCUAGACGUGCAUAGUGAUGAGGCAUUUACUUUACAUUUUCAGAGUGUGGAAAUCUAUUGAACUCCAGCCCAAAUUGGCAACCUAUGCGAUAUAAUAUUGCUGUUGAAUAUUUAAUGUCUACACUGAAAAUACGAAGGACAUCUCUGACUCUGUCAGGGGUCAAGAAUAGUGGAAAUAUAUUCUGAUUAACUUAUGACAUUUACAAACAGGAUUAGUCUUUCUUCUUCCAGAAUCAAUUAGCUCCAACUCCCCAUGGCCCAUGAAGACAGCCAAGGAGAGCUGGCGGCUGCAACCCACAGCAGGUAUUUCUGUGUUGGUGCUUGGGAAAAGCUAGAUUUACAACUUUCUGAUCUUGGUUCCUCUCCAGUGUCUCUCCUUUAUUAUUUCAGUGGGCCACCAACAGUUUUUGCUACCAAGAAACAAGUACUUACUGCAGAGCUGAGAGGGAAAACUGGCCAUUCUUUUUUUCUAGCUUCAGCUGGGCCUUUGUAGGACUUGCCACAAAAGCUUGAUCUGCACAUUAGAACAGGACUCAGCAUGGCGGCUACAAGUUAAUAAGUGCCCAAAUUAUGAAAACUGCCUUGUUACUCAACUAUACUGGUUUGGGAAUACCAGUGUUUGAACCAGCCUUACAAAUACAAACCAACACAUGCUUUGGCUCAAUGAAGUUGUUCUUGAUUUAGAAGGUAAAUAUCACUUUGUUAAUUCAGU